rnacentral:rRNA from 1 species
UACAGAGGUGGCAAGCGUUGUUCGGAAUUACUGGGCGUAAAGGGCGCGUAGGCGGCUCGACAAGUCCCGCGUGAAAGCCCCCGGCUCAACUGGGGAACUGCGCGGGAAACUGUCGGACUUGAGUUCGGGAGAGGGAAGCGGAAUUCCGGGUGUAGCGGUGAAAUGCGUAGAUAUCCGGAGGAACACCGGUGGCGAAGGCGGCUUCCUGGACCGACACUGACGCUGAGGCGCGAACGCGUGGGGAGCAAACAGG